rnacentral:rRNA from 1 species
ACGGGUGAGUAAUACAUCGGAACGUGCCCAAUCGUGGGGGAUAACGCAGCGAAAGCUGUGCUAAUACCGCAUACGAUCUACGGAUGAAAGCAGGGGAUCGCAAGACCUUGCGCGAAUGGAGCGGCCGAUGGCAGAUUAGGUAGUUGGUGAGGUAAAGGCUCACCAAGCCUUCGAUCUGUAGCUGGUCUGAGAGGACGACCAGCCACACUGGGACUGAGACACGGCCCAGACUCCUACGGGAGGCAGCAGUGGGGAAUUUUGGACAAUGGGCGAAAGCCUGAUCCAGCCAUGCCGCGUGCAGGAUGAAGGCCUUCGGGUUGUAAACUGCUUUUGUACGGAACGAAACGGUCUUUUCUAAUAAAGAAGGCUAAUGACGGUACCGUAAGAAUAAGCACCGGCUAACUACGUGCCAGCAGCCGCGGUAAUACGUAGGGUGCAAGCGUUAAUCGGAAUUACUGGGCGUAAAGCGUGCGCAGGCGGUGAUGUAAGACAGUUGUGAAAUCCCCGGGCUCAACCUGGGAACUGCAUCUGUGACUGCAUCGCUGGAGUACGGCAGAGGGGGAUGGAAUUCCGCGUGUAGCAG